CUCCUCUCUCUGCCCUCCCCCCUCUCAAAAUGAAUAAAUAAAUGUAAAAAGAAAAAAGAGGAAUGGAGGAAACACGAUGGAGGCAUAGAUGCAGAAAAGUGGGGAAAGCGUCAGGAAGAGUGGAAGAGGGACCCAAAUCUGAUGGAGAAAAGCCGCCCUGACUGGAGUUUUCUAGACACCAGGCCAUGCCAUGCACCCUGUAGGCUUUAUUUCAACCCUCAAAGCUGCCCCAUGAGGUGGGGUUAAAAUUAGCCCCAUUAUAGAGCUCUUCCUGCCCUUCGGUCCUGUCCCCAUGCUUUAAUAAUAAUAUAAAAAAAUUAGCCCCAUUAUUCAGAUAGAAACACUGAGGCUGGUGAGAGAGAGAAGUGACUCAUCCAAGAUAUAGUAGGUUGGAUGGUGCCCCCACACACACAUGAAAGAAAGAAAGGAAGGAAGGAAGGAAGGAAGGUUCCUCAAACCUGUGAAUGGGACCUAAUUUGGCCAAAAGGUUUUUGCAGCUGUGACUAAGUUAAUGACCUUGAGAGCAGAUCCUCCUGCAUUAUCUGCCUGGACCCUAAAUCCAAUGACAAGUGUCCUUAUGAGAGAAAGGCAGAGGGAGAUCCGAGAUGACAACGUGAAGACAGAGGCACAGAUUGGAGUGAUGUGGCCGCAAGCCAAGAAAUGCCAGGAGCCACCAGAAGCUGGGAGAUGCGAGGAAGGAUCCUCUCCUGGAGCCUUCAGAGGGACCAUGGCCCUGCCGACACCUUGAUUUGGGCCUCCGGGCCUCCGGAGCUGUGAGAGAAUAAAUUUCUGUUGUUUUCAGUCA